CGCAUAUUUUGCGAUGGCGGAGCUCGACCGCCGGUCGAAGUGAUGGUGGACUUCGUUGAGGCGCACAGGGAUGCGCACGGGGUCGAGCCGACCUGCGCGGUACUGCCGAUUGCUCCU
rfam:Ruegeria pomeroyi DSS-3, complete genome.